rnacentral:misc_RNA from 1 species
GAAAUGCGAUAAGUAAUGUGAAUUGCAGAAUUCAGUGAAUCAUCGAAUCUUUGAACGCACCUUGCGCUCCUUGGUAUUCCUUGGAGCAUGCCUGUUUGAGUAUCAUGAAAUCUUCAAAGUAAAUCUUUUGUUAACUCAAUUGGUUUCUACUUUGGUAUUGGAGGUCUUUGCAGCUUCACACCUGCUCCUCUUUGUUCAUUAGCUGGAUCUCAGUGUUAUGCUUGGUUCCACUCGGCGUGAUAAGUUAUCUAUCGCUGAGGAUACUGUAAAAGGUGGCCAAGGUAAAUGCAGAUGAACCGCUUCUAAUAGUCCAUUGACUUGGACAAUACUUUUAUGAUCUGAUCUCAAAUCAGGUAGGACUACCCGCUGAACUUAAGC